rnacentral:lncRNA from 1 species
CCAGGCUGGAGUACAGUGGUGCCAUCUCCACUCACUGCAACCUCUGUCUCCUGGGUUCAAGCGAUUCUCCUGCCUCAGCCUCCCCAGUAGCAGGGAUUACAGGCACAAACCACCACACCUGGCUAACUUUUGUAUUUUUAGUAGAGAUGAUGUUGCCCAGGCUGGACUAGAAAUACUGACCUCAAGUGAUCCGCCUGCCUCAGCCUCCCAAAGUGCUGGGAUUACAGGCGUGAGCCACCACGCCCAGCCCAAACUAGUCAUUUUUAAAGAUACCAUCAGGUCAGGUGUCAUGGCUCACCUCUGUAAUCCCAGCACUUUGGGAGGCCAAGGCAGGAGGAUUGCUUGAGGCCAAGACUUCAAGACCAGCCUGGACAACAUAGUGAGACCUUGGGUCUAUUUUUUUUAAUUUUUAAAAGAAGAAAAAAGAAAAAAAAAGAUACCAUCAAAAAACUGAUACUAGGGGAAAAUAUUUGAAAACAUAUUGACAAAGGAUUUGAACCAAGAAUACAUAAAGAGGCUGGGCGCAGUGGCUCAUGCUUGUAAUCCCAGCACUUUGGGAGGCUGAGGUGGGCAAAUCAUUUGAGGUCAGCAGUUCGAGACCAGCUUGGCCAACAUGGUAAAACCCCGUCUCUACUAAAAAUACAAAAAUUAGCUGGACAUGGUGGUGUGCACCUGUAAUCCCAGCUACUCAGGAGGUUGAGGCAGGAGAAUCACUUGAACCCGGGAGGCAGAGGUUGCAGUGAGGCCAGAUCACACCACUGCGCUCUAGCCUGGGUGACAGAGCGAGACUCCAUCUCAAAAAAAAAAAAAAAAGAAAAAGAAAAGAAAAGAAAACAUAAAGAGAACACAUUCCAGUCUCUCUCCUCCAUUGCAAGAAAGGCUCCUUUGCAGUGGUCAAAAAAAUAAAGGAUAUGUAAAGAACUUUUACAACUCAAUAAGAAGACAAUCCAGAGGAAAAAAGAUGAAAGUCGGGGCCAAAAGAAAGACUUUUCACUGAAACAAAAAACCUCCAAAAAAAGGUUUCAGAUGUGGGCUACCUACUCCAUGCCAGGCACUGUGCUAAGUACCUUUGACACAAUAUAGGCAUACCUCAGAGAUAUCACAGGUUUGGUUCCAGAUCACCACAAUGAAGAGAAUAUUGCAAUAAAGUGAGUGACACAAAUUUUUUGGUUUCCCAGUGCAAAUAAAAGUUAUAUUUACUCUAUACUGCAGUCUAUUAAGUGAAAGCAAUGUACAUACCUUAAUUUCAUUAUAUUUAUAUUUUUUAAAUAUAUCGAGAUAGGGUUUCACUCUAUCACCCUCGCUAGAGUGCAAUGAAACUGUAGCUCAC